AUGGAAAUUGUAGUUGCUGUUGUAAGGCGUGAACAGAGGGUGCACUUCACUCUUCGGCACAGAGAGUUUCUGAGUUUGAAGCCUGAUGAACUCAUCAUAGGCGAGGUGAUAGAAUCAUACAUUGGAGCCAUCCUCACUUCCAGGGAUACUGCUGGCCGUCUAUACCACUUUAAUCACUACACAAUGGGUGCAAUUUUACAUGGCACGAGAGAACAAAUGGCUAGACAAGGAUUAAGAAAUGUCACAUUUGAUGACUAUGAUGGAGCCAUUGGAUUUGUCAAUAUAGGAAAUGUUCACUGGAAGUUUGUGGUGAGUAUAUAGCUAAUCGUAAUAAUAUUUGACUAACAUCUUAUCUGUCUUUCAGAAUUAUUAUUAUUAUUAACAGCAUUUUUCCAUGGCUCUUGGUUAUCAGUGGUACAACUGCUAUAAAUAUUUGUAAAAACAAAUAAAAACAAAACACAUGAAAAAUGAUUUAACA
ensembl:lncRNA